rnacentral:tRNA from 1 species
GGCGAUAUAUUUUAAUAAAAUAAACAUCUUGCAAAGAUGGAGAUACUACUGAGGAGUUGUCGCUU